rnacentral:rRNA from 1 species
CCUACGGGCGGCAGCAGUGGGGAAUAUUGGACAAUGGGGGGAACCCUGAUCCAGCCAUGCCGCGUGUGUGAAGAAGGCCCUCGGGUUGUAAAGCACUUUCAGUGAGGAAGAACGCCUGGUGGUUAAUACCCAUCAGGAAAGACAUCACUCACAGAAGAAGCACCGGCUAACUCCGUGCCAGCAGCCGCCGUAAUACGGAGGGUGCGAGCGUUAAUCGGAAUUACUGGGCGUAAAGCGCGCGUAGGUGGCUUGAUAAGCCGGUUGUGAAAGCCCCGGGCUCAACCUGGGAACGGCAUCCGGAACUGUCAAGCUAGAGUGCAGGAGAGGAAGGUAGAAUUCCCGGUGUAGCGGUGAAAUGCGUAGAGAUCGGGAGGAAUACCAGUGGCGAAGGCGGCCUUCUGGACUGACACUGACACUGAGGUGCGAAAGCAUGGGUAGCAAACAGGAUUAGAUACCCUAGUAGUC